rnacentral:rRNA from 1 species
UACGGAGGGGGCAAGCGUUGUUCGGAAUUACUGGGCGUAAAGGGCUUGUAGGUGGCCAACUAAGUCAGACGUGAAAUCCCUCGGCUUAACCGGGGAACUGCGUCUGAUACUGGAUGGCUUGAGUUUGGGAGAGGGAUGCGGAAUUCCAGGUGUAGCGGUGAAAUGCGUAGAUAUCGUGAGGAACACCGGUGGCGAAAGCGGCUCACUGGAUCGAGUCUGACACUGAGGUGCGAAAGCUAGGGUAGCAAACGGG